rnacentral:rRNA from 1 species
GACGAACGCUGGCGGCGUGCUUAACACAUGCAAGUCGAGCGGUAAGGCCCUUUCGGGGGUACGACGAGCGGCGAACGGGUGAGUAACACGUGGGUGACCUGCCCUCCAGCUCUGGGAUAAGCCUGGGAAACCGGGUCUAAUACUGGAUAUGACUCCAUGACGCAUGUUGUGGGGUGGAAAGCCUUGUGCGGCUGAGGAUGGGCCCGCGGCCUAUCAGCUUGUUGGUGGGGUGAGGCCUACCAAGGCGACGACGGGUAGCCGGCCUGCGAGGGCGACCGGCCACACUGGGACUGAGACACGGCCCAGACUCCUACGGGAGGCAGCAGUGGGGAAUCUUGCGCAAUGGGCGAAAGCCUGACGCAGCGACGCCGCGUGAGGGAUGA